CUGGACUAGCCUGCCGGACCAGGCUGUGAAGGCUGAAUUAAGCUUCAUAGAGCCGAUUGUGUGGAGUCAAGGAUUUGGGUUGUCAUUACCCCAUGAAGCCAGGAAGCAAGAUCAGAGGAACUGGCUCAUGUUGGGGGUGUUGGGGUUCCUGGGCUGGAAGUCUUCUCUUCACGGGGCACAGAGAAGACUCAUUUCUACAAUCUCCAUUCACUACAUACCACCUGGCAACUGGCAGCUGUCCACAAUAUUGAAUAUGGAGAGGACAGCACAGUGGGUGAACCCCGAUGGGGUCUGAGUCCCCAGCUUGGUGGUCUGCGUGGCUGUCUCCUCUUCUGCCUGUCCUUCUCUU
rnacentral:lncRNA from 1 species